rnacentral:rRNA from 1 species
GACAUGAAGUUAGGUCAGCAAACCCGCUGAAUUUAAGCAUAURAGUAAGCGGAGGAUAAGAAACUAAAUAGGAUUCCCUUAGUAAUGGCGAAUGAACAGGGAUCAGCUCAGCAUGGAAAUUGGGGCCCUCGGCCUUGAAUUGUAGUCUCGAGAUGUAUUGCCAACGGAGGCGCAGAUGUAAGCCUCUUGGAAAGGAGCAUCAACGAGGGUGAGAGUCCCGUUUGUCAUCUGCAGUCCCCCGUGCACGGCAUACCUUCUAAGAGUCGCGUUCCUCGGAAUUGGAGCGUAAAUUGGGUGGUAAAUUUCAUCUCAAGCUAAAUAUUGGUUCGAGACCGAUAGCAAACAAGUACCAUGAGGGAAAGAUGAAAAGGACUUUGAAAAGAGAGUUAAAAGUGCCUGAAAUUGCUGAAAGGGAAGCGAAUGGAACCAGUGUUGCUUGGAUGUGAUUGGCGGGUGCAUGACGCGCUCGUUGUAUUUCCUUCCUUGUGUGUCAACGCCAGUUCGCGAUCGAGGAAAACUCCAGGGUCAUGGUAGCUUGUCUCAGGGUGAGCGAACAGCCUUGGCAGAACUCAUUUGCGGACUGUUUCUUUCGUGUCUGGUUGCAAUGUCUUUGGCAUCUUGGAGACCUCGCCAUGGCUUUGCCAUGGGCGAGCGACCCAGGUGACUCGGCAUUUCCCUGACGCAAAGACGAUGACUAAAUGGUUCUAUUCGACCCGUCUUG